rnacentral:rRNA from 1 species
UACAGAGGGUGCGAGCGUUAAUCGGAAUUACUGGGCGUAAAGCGCACGUAGGUGGCGACGUAAGUCGGGUGUGAAAGCCCCGGGCUCAACCUGGGAAUUGCAUUCGAGACUGCAUUGCUGGAGUACGGAAGAGGAGGGCGGAAUUCCCGGUGUAGCGGUGAAAUGCGUAGAUAUCGGGAGGAACAUCAGUGGCGAAGGCUGCCAUCUGGACCAGCACUGACACUGAGGCACGAAAGCGUGGGGAGCAAACAGG